AUUGAACGCUGGCGGCAGGCCUAACACAUGCAAGUCGAACGGUAACAGGAAACAGCUUGCUGUUUCGCUGACGAGUGGCGGACGGGUGAGUCAUGUCUGGGAAACUGCCUGAUGGAGGGGGAUAACUACUGGAAACGGUAGCUAAUACCGCAUAACGUCGCAAGACCAAAGAGGGGGACCCUCGGGCCCCUUGCCAUCGGAUGUGCCCAGAUGGGAUUAGCUUGUUGGUGGGGGAACGGCUCACCAAGGCGACGAUCCCUAGCUGGUCUGAGAGGAUGACACGCCACACUGGAACUGAGACACGGUCCAGACUCCUACGGGAGGCAGCGGUGGGGAAUAUUGCACGAUGGGCGAAAGCCUGAUGCAGCAAUGCCGCGUGUAUGAAGAAGGCCUUCGGGUUGUAAAGUACUUUCAGCGGGGAGGAAGGGAGUAAAGUUAAUACCUGUGCUCAUUGACGUUACCCGCAGAAGAAGCACCGGCUAACUCCGUG
rnacentral:rRNA from 1 species